GACGAACGCUGGCGGCGUGCCUAAUACAUGCAAGUCGAACGCAGUGGGGACGGGUGAGUAACACGUGGGUAACCUCCCAUCAGAGGGGAUAACCCUUGGAAACAGGUGCUAAACCGAUACUGAUUGAUGGACCCGCGGUGCAUUAGCUCGUUGGUGAGGUAACGGCUAACCAAGGCCACGAUGCAUAGCCGGCCUGAGAGGGUGAUAGGACACACUGGGACGGAGACACGGACCAGACUCCUACGGGAGGCAGCAGUAGGGAAUAUUGGGCAAGGGACGAAAGUCUGACCGAGCAACGCCGCGUGGGUGAAGAAGGUUUUCGGAUCGUAAAACUCUGUUGUUAGAGAAGCGGUAUCCAACCAGAAAGCCACGGCUAACUACGUGCCAGCAGCCGCGGUAAUAC
rnacentral:rRNA from 1 species